rnacentral:rRNA from 1 species
UACGUAGGGCGCAAGCGUUAUCCGGAAUUAUUGGGCGUAAAGAGCGUGUAGGCGGCUUGGAAGGUCAGCUGUGAAAACUCGAGGCUCAACCUCGAGACGUCGGUUGAAACCACCUGGCUAGAGUCCGGAAGAGGAGAGUGGAAUUCCCGGUGUAGCGGUGAAAUGCGCAGAUAUCGGGAAGAACACCCGUGGCGAAGGCGGCUCUCUGGGACGGUACUGACGCUGAGACGUGAAAGCGUGGGGAGCAAACAGG